rnacentral:tRNA from 1 species
GGCAAGGUGGCCGAGCGGUCUAAGGUUAGUUCCCCGCUUAUCACGCGUAGCGUGCGCGAGUUCGAAUCUCGCCCUUGUCA